CCUUGGGUCUGGCUGGCCGGUCCGCCUCACCGCGAGUACUGGUCCGGCUGGACCUUUCCUUCUGGGGAAUCCCAUGGCCUUCACUGGCUGUGGGGGGAACCAGGACUUUUACUGUGAAAAAAUUAGAGUGUUCAAAGCAGGCCUUUGCUCGAAUACAUUAGCAUGGAAUAAUAGAAUAGGACGUGCGGUUCUAUUUUGUUGGUUUCUAGGACCGCCGUAAUGAUUAAUAGGGAUAGUCGGGGGCGUCAGUAUUCAGCUGUCAGAGGUGAAAUUCUUGGAUUUGCUGAAGACUAACUACUGCGAAAGCAUUCGCCAAGGAUGUUUUCAUUAAUCAGGGAACGAAAGUUAGGGGAUCGAAGACGAUCAGAUACCGUCGUAGUCUUAACCAUAAACUAUGCCGACUAGGGAUCGGGCGGUGUUUCUAUGAUGACCCGCUCGGCACCUUACGAGAAAUCAAAGUUUUUGGGUUCUGGGGGGAGUAUGGUCGCAAGGCUG
rnacentral:rRNA from 1 species